GACGAACGCUGGCGGCGUGCUUAACACAUGCAAGUCGAACGGAAAGGCCCUGCUUUUGUGGGGUGCUCGAGUGGCGAACGGGUGAGUAACACGUGAGUAACCUGCCCUUGACUUUGGGAUAACUUCAGGAAACUGGGGCUAAUACCGGAUAGGAGCUCCUGCUGCAUGGUGGGGGUUGGAAAGUUUCGGCGGUUGGGGAUGGACUCGCGGCUUAUCCGCUUGUUGGUGGGGUAGUGGCUUACCAAGGCUUUGACGGGUAGCCGGCCUGAGAGGGUGACCGGCCACAUUGGGACUGAGAUACGGCGCAGACUGCUACGGGAGGCAGCAGUGGGGAAUAUUGCACAAUGGGCGGAAGCCUGAUGCAGCAACGCCGCGUGCGGGAUGACGGCCUUCGGGUUGUAAACCGCUUUCGCCUGUGACGAAGCGUGAGUGACGGUAAUGGGUAAAGAAGCACCGGCUAACUACGUG
rnacentral:rRNA from 1 species